UUGGUCGAGUAUAGUUCAUGUCUUUUGUCUUCUCAACUUUGACAAGGGAACUAGCUGGAUCAGUGUUUACUUUGUAAUCAAUUAUAGCUUGUAUUGAAUGGAUCCAUUAGCCUAACUGCAUAUAAGAUUACUUUGGAGUGAUCUUUACACGUACUAUUUUGAUCAGAUUUUUAUUUCAUUUUGGAUUCAACCAUUUGUGAAGAACAUUUUUCUUCGAGACUCUGAAAUGAUGCAUGUGGUCAUCCAGUAUUACUCUGAUGAUUGGCCAACAAAUGUUGUUAUAUAUCAGUUUGUGCAGGAAUUUCACUUCUUUGUGACUAGAGGUGACGAUGAAAAUGAACUCAUUUUAGCAACUCGACUUCAGGGAUUCUUUGAUUGGAGCUGCAACUGCACUUGAAGUUAGAGCCACAGGCAUUCCAUAUGUCUUUGCACCUUGCAUAGUGGUUUGUAGAGAUCCAAGAUGGGGUCGUUGUUACGAAAGCUAUGGUGAAGAUCAUAAGGUUGUUCAAGCAUUGACUCAUAUCAUACCUGGAUUACAAGGAGAUAUACCACCUAACUCUACAAAGGGAACACCCUUUGUAGCUGGAAAAGAGUAGAACAAGGGGAGGGAUUAUGGAAAAUACAUCAGAUCCGGGGAGCAUGUAUGGUCCGUGAUAGAGACUGGUAAACCUUUUUUUGCAGUGAUGACAUUCAUUAGUUCUUCUUUCUGUUAUGUAUAGCUUUAUAAACUCGGUUUCGCCUUGCAGGAUCAGCUGAGAGCCAACGUGGAACAAUUGUGUUCCUUCACGGGGCUCCCACUCAGUCUUAUAGCUACAGAAAUGUUAUGUCUCAGGUCUGUUGUAUCUUGCUUUGUAUGUUAUUUAGUACCUGUACAUAUUCAUUUUGGUGAUUUUGGCUUACUGUAAAUGCUUAUGGCAAAAGGCUUAAGAAACACAUUAGUUCAUCUCAGAGCAGUUGUUUCAUCAUCCCAAGUUCAUGUAACUUGAAUCUUUAAUUUGGCUACACAAGUUUAUUUAUCACCUUAUACUUUGUUUUGGGGACAAUAUAAUGUGCAUUAAUUUUGUUUUUCAGAAGAUUUAUGUUUCCACUACAGAAAAGGAGUUCCACGACGAAUUUGACAGAUUACUAGAUGUUUAUGCAAGCGACAUUUCUCUUUUUGCUGACAGCCAUGAUUUUAUA